AUCGCUUCUCGGCCUUUUGGCUAAGAUCAAGUGUAGUAUCUGUUCUUAUCAGCUUUAUAGGGAGCAGCUACGUUUUUUGAAUUUUCUACAUUCAAAUGUCCUCACUACAA
rnacentral:snRNA from 14 species